AGAACGAACGCUGGCGGCAUGCCUAAUACAUGCAAGUCGAACGAACACUUCGGUGUUAGUGGCGCACGGGUGCGUAACGCGUGGGAAUCUGCCCUUGGGUUCGGAAUAACAGUUGGAAACGACUGCUAAUACCGGAUGAUAUCGAAAGAUCAAAGAUUUAUCGCCCAGGGAUGAGCCCGCGUAGGAUUAGCUAGUUGGUGAGGUAAAGGCUCACCAAGGCGACGAUCCUUAGCUGGUCUGAGAGGAUGAUCAGCCACACUGGGACUGAGACACGGCCCAGACUCCUACGGGAGGCAGCAGUAGGGAAUAGUUGGACAAGUGGGCGCAAGCCUGAUCCAGCAA
rnacentral:rRNA from 1 species